AUGUGGAGUAGACCGCGUGAGGAGGGGCUGCUGCAGCCCCCUCCGGGAUCUGGGAUUCUGAGCUCUGGAUGGGAGAACUGCAGAUGGCUGCUGAACCCCACACAAUGUGUGAUUCCUGGGGUGCCCCCCUCCCCACGGUGGUUGAACUCUAGAAGCUACUCACUCUCUGACAGAAGAGGGAAAAGCAACAGCUACUCUGUGGCCUUGUGUGGCCUUGUUUGGCUGCUGGGAAUCGUGCAUCCGGGCUGUGGGAAACUGUGAGUGCAGGUGUGAAGGCGGCUGCUUUGCCUGUCAGGAAGGCAGCCAGGUUCCUGGUCCAGAACUCGGGUUCCCUUCGAGUGACUGUUCAGUGGACUCAGACAGAAGUUAAACAUAUGGGCUCUGGUGUUGCACUGCCUGAGUCUGAAUACGCAUUCCGUCACUCACCAGCUGGGAAAGCUUGGGCAAGACACUGGACACCUUAUGUGUGAAGUAAGGAUAAUAACUCUAUUGAUGGCACAGGGCAUAAUGUUGUGAGGAUUAAACAAGGUAAUGCAGGAAUGCAUGUAAAGGACUUAGUGUAGUGCCUGGUACAGAGCACACAUCUGACAGGUGACAGCUCUUCUUAUUAUCGUAUCUUAGGAUCGCUCAUGUGCACCUGAAGGCAAUUCCAGAGAGACUGCUGAGGGAUGGUAGAAAAUGGGGGCAUUACUUUCCACAGGACUGGUUGGCAGGUGUCCUGGUUUGCCUGUCUACCACUAUGUAAUGCCUAUCCUGGCAUUUAACAUCAAGUUAGGUGUUCGGAUUUCCUACCAUCUCCCUCCCUCUUUCUUUUCUGCACUUAAUACUUAUGGAGAGCCUACUGUAGGGCGCCUGGGCGGCUCAGUUGGUUGAGCAUCUGGCUCUUGAUUUAGGCUCAGGUCAUAAUCUCACAAUUGUGGGAUCGAGCUCUCCCUCACCCCCAUCUCCACACUGAGCUUAGAGACUACUUAAGAUUCUCUCUCCCUCUUUCCCCCUGCUCCCCCUACCCAACUUGUGUGCAUGGUUGUAUGGUUUUUUUUUUUUCUCUCUCUCUCAAAAAAAAAAAAAAAAUCUAUUCUGGCCUGAUUCUGUGCUAGGCAUUAAACAUACCACAAUAGAUAAAGAGCAACAGGCUGAAGUCUGAUCUUGGGGAUGGGGGAGACAAGCAUGUAAACUGGACAAAGCAAUUCUGUACUUCAGAUACUGUGAUGGAAGGAUGUCCAGAUAUAGUGGAAUGUAAGAGAGCUGAGUUAGGAAAGCUUCAAAGCUGAGGGGUCUGAAGCCGGUUUUCAGGCAGAGGGGAUAUUUGAGCAAUGGCAUUGAGCUGAGAAAUACACCACAUUUUAUUAGGAAUAUCUUCCCAGUUUGGAGUUGAGGACUAGGAGCCUGAACAUGGAAUCUGUGGAGAAUAUCUUUCAUGUGAAGGAUGCUAGAAGAGCAAACUUUGCUUGCUCCUUCCAGAGUUCAUCUAGGAAAGCCCUUCCUCCAGUAGCUUCCCUGCCUGUUCUCCUUCAAGCCUUUACUCCAUUGCCUCCUUCCCCAGGAAGCCUUCCCUGACUAGCCUGUUCUGAGUGGCAACCUACCACCUUUCCACAGGUCUCUUCCCCUCAUCCUUCAGUUUGCUUUAUUUUUCCUCCAUGGCAUUUAUUGCUAUCUAACAUUUCAUAUAUUUUAUUUGUUUUUUGUUGUUGUUUGUCUCCUCCUACAUAAGCUCCAUGAAGAUAGAGAUUUUUGUCCAUGUUAUUCACUACUGUAUCCCUAGGGGUUGAACAACCUGGCACAUAGUAAGGGCUCAAGAGAUAUUUUUUCAGAUGGGUACUCAUCCCUUGAUUCAUGCCAGAGACAUAUUUGGUCAUGUCUAAAAUGGGCCAGGUAUGGUGCUGGUGAGCUGUAGCCAAUGACCCCCAAACGUUAAUUCACAGACAGGCUAGCUGCAUCAGAAUCACUUUAGGUACCUGUCACAUAUACAGAUCCUGGAAUUACACUCAAAACCUAAUGAAUUAAAAUCUUCAGAGGUGGACGCUCAUUUUAGCAAGGAGGCUUGGGGAUUUGAUGUGCACCACAGUUGGAGAUUACAGCUAGACAAUCUGAAAAACAGAAUGUGCUUCCUUCGUCAAUAAGAGAAUCAGGAAAGAACACAGAGAAACCAGUCAUGAGGCUAUGAUUAUAGUCCAGCUCAGAAACAGUGGUGACUUGACACAGGUUGAGACAUUUGAGAUGGAGAGAAGUAAAUGGAUUUGGAGGAUAUUCAGGAGCUGAAAACUUGAGAUGAAUUGCAUUUGGAAGGCAAGGAAGGGAGGUAUCAAGAAUGGGUUCUGGGUUCUAGGCUUGUCCAGAUGUAUAGAUGGAGAUGCUAUUGUUCAAAUGAGGGAUGCCGGAAGAAGAUCCAGUUUGGGAGGUAAGAUUAAGGAGUUUAGUCUUAGGUAUAUUGAAUGUAAGGUGCUUUUGGCAAUCUGAAAGGAAAUGUCAAGUCAGUAGUUGCAUGCCCAGACCAGGAGGUUUCCAAAGCCAGUCAUCUGAAAACAUCGUGUUCAGAAGGGAAGUUGUUGACUUGGAACUAAGCAAGAAGACUGAGAUCAAAGGAGUGAACAUGGGCUACCUCAGCAUGUUUCUGUCAUGUUAAAAAAUACACAAACACAUAGAGUUUCCAUUGUGAGAGGCAAAUAAAGUAAUGGAACCUAAAAUAAAGUUACA
rnacentral:lncRNA from 12 species